GUCCCUUCCACUGUCCCUUUGACAACUUUAAAUCCUCCUCCAAAAACAUCUCAUCUUACUGUUGUGAGACUGAAGAUCUCGACUAAACUGUCACUGAAAGAUGAUCAGGACAAAAUUGUGAAAGCGCUCAAAAAAGAACUGAUUAAACAAGGGCUGCCACCUGAUAUAAAAAUACGCCUG